AUUGAACGCUGGCGGCAGGCCUAACACAUGCAAGUCGAACGAGUGGCGGACGGGUGAGUAAUGUCUGGGAAACUGCCUGAUGGAGGGGGAUACCUACUGGAAACGGUAGCUAAUACCGCAUACCCUCAGAUGUGCCCAGAUGGGAUUAGCUUGUUGGUGGGUUAACGGCUCACCAAGGAGACCAUACCUCGCUGGGCUGAGCGGAUGACCAGCCACACUGGAACGGAUACACGGUCCAUGCUCCACCGGGAGGCAGCAGUGGGGAAUAUAGCACAAUGGCCGCAAGCCUGAUGCAGCCAAUCCGCGUGUAUGAAGAAGGCCUUCGGGUUGUAAAGUCCUUUCAGCGGGGAGGCGUUACCCGCAGAAGAAGCACCGGCUAACUCCGCGCCAGCAGCCGCGGUAAUAC
rnacentral:rRNA from 1 species